rnacentral:lncRNA from 1 species
AGAUACCAUUAUAAAAACUACACUUCCCUUUGUUUUUCUGAAGCAAUCUUACAAACCUCAGGAAUGCAAAGGAAAAAGCACUGUAGAUGGGAGCUUAACAAAUGAACAGGAUCAAGCUUUCAAACACUAAGUAGCAUUGAAAGAUUUCUUUGCCAUUGCUGCAGAUCCCUGGUGGACAGUCUUCUGCCACUCUGAAAAGAGUAACGGUUAUUAAUUGAUCAUGGAGUGCCAGCACUUUGCUAGGUGGUUUCUUCUUUUUCAUUUAAGCAGCACGUGGAUUUGGAAGCAAUGCUGAAGCAAGGAGCUACUCAGAACAGAGGAAGACAGGAGUGCCACAGAAACAAGGCUCUCAGCCUCAUGGUGUAAAGCUUGGUCAGUUUUGGAUUCACUGCAACCCGUGAAGCUCAGAACAUUUUACAAGACCAGAUCCUACCACUGCAGCAUGAGAUUGAGUUUCCUGGUUGUCUCCAGCAUUGGAAACAGGAAGUCAAUCUGCUGUGAAGGACAUUGAAUGCUGCACUGAGGGUAACAUCCCUUGCCUGCAAGGCAGUGCGAACAACCUGAGCCAGUCCAUGAAAUUCAUCACACACAAGGAAGCAGACAAUGAAAUGAAGGGCAUUCAGCUGAAACCACAGACCAGAUGCUUCCAUG